UUCCAUCUCUCCAAAAAUUUUUUGACGCCCUAUUUCCCCCCUUAGCCUAUCCAAACCCUAAACCUUUCUCGUCAUACGAGAUCUUCAUACGGCUCUCCUCAUACAAUCUUGGCGAGUGUGGAAGUAUGCCCCUUUUUUAAAAUGCGAGGUAGGAGCGUGGGUGGUUGCUGCUGCUUGUGCAGAUUGCUGGGUGGAGGUGGCGAUGGAAGCGGAGGCGACCUCCUCGGUCCUGGGUUCUCUCCGCCUUGGGGGGGGGGGGGUCUUCUCCAUGAUCGCCUUCCAAGUUGCUUCCAUAGAGUCAUUCUCCUCCGAGCUCUCCGCCUCCUUGUCCAAUGGAUCACCGUCGGAAUUUGGAUCUAGGAGUUUAGGCGUUGCCGGCGUAGGUCGGGGCGAGAGAGGGACGACUUGAGCAGCGGGAGGAGGAGGGGCACUCUCGAAAGACUUGAUCUUCACGGCUUCCGUCGCCUCCGGCGGCCCGUGGUGGUGCUUUUGGUCGGAGAGCUUCCAAAUGAUGAGGACGAUGAGAUGGAUGACGACGAAGAGAUAUGGCGGCAAGAGGCAGGAGCAGAGGGGAGGGGGCAGGACGGCGCCGCUGUUGGUCUGUCGUCAUCGUCGACCAAGAGCUGGGCGCAGCAGGCUGAGGAGACAUACCAGCUCUAGCUAGCUCUGGCGCUUCGGCUCUGCUCCGAGGCGGCCUACGCGGAGGACCCUAAUUUCUUGGACGCUGCAGAUCAGAUGGUGCUGCCGGAACGUGCUGCUCCUACUUCCUUGUCCCAUCGAUUCUGGGUUUGGAGACAGUUUCAUCCUCUCUGUACAAUCUGAACCGGGCGGCGCAAGUGGCCUUCCCCGGCGAAGAGAUACUGGCGAGAGCUAAGAGCUUCACCUAUGCCUUCUUGUGAGAGAAACAAGCUGCACACCAGCUGCUCGACAAAUGGAUCAUCACCAAGGAUUUGCCCGGGGAGGUGGAGUAUGCUCUGGAUUUCCCCUGGUACGCGAGCCUGCCUCUCAUUGAGGCAAGACUCUACUUGGAGCAGUAUGAGGGGGAAGUGAUAUUUGGAUUGGCAAGACUCUCUACAGGAUGCCUCUGGUAAACAAUGAUAUGUAUUUGGAGUUGGCUAAGUUGGACUUUAACCAUUGCCAAGCUCACCAUCAGCUGGAGUGGCUCUAUCUUCAAAAGUGGUACGAGGAGGCAGGCCUUGGAUGGCAUGGUGUGAGCAGAAGAACCCUGUUGGAGGACUUCUUCUUAGCAGCCUCUUGCAUAUUCGAACCCGAACGCAAGACUGAGAGGUUGGGUUGGGUUCGAACCCUGGUUUUCUCGAAGGCCAUUUCAGCCUACUUUGGCAGGGACUCAUGCACUGAUACUAUGAGACAAGCACUGAUACUGAACUUCCUCAAUGCUAAUGACUGCUACAGCAAUGAGCAUGGCACCAACAGGUCAGUGCUAGACACCAUCCCAUUCAAAUUUAAGAAUCGAAAACUCUCGAAACAGGUCAGUGCUAGGCACCAACAUUUCAGCCUACUGUUCUGUCUGAAUUUACUAAUGGUGGCAAUUAUUAUGUGCACGCGUGUUAUGCAUCCCCAGCCUAUUUCUUUGGAGGUGGUGAAUUGUAUUGAAGAUUGCUUGGUCACUGCACUUAUAUGCAAUCUUUUGUUCCUAGCUAUAUAAAUGUCAUUUCUGUUGCAUUCUUCAUGUUAUGAUCAGGCUGUCAAAGACUGGAAUGAUUACUCCACGUAUGUGAAUCAAUGAUACAACCAUCAUAUUCAGGAACAAUCUAUCUGAGUGGUCAAUGAAACUGAGAACUCUCAGGAGGCCUUACAGGUUCCUGACAUUAUUUUGCGGCAGCUUGCGGAAAAAUAUCAUGGGAUACGGAGGUUUUCCUUCUAAUUUGAGGACUUCAAAAGGAGGUCUUUCUUUGAGUAUUGAUGUCUCUACUACUAUGACUGUGUGUCCUGGACUAUUGGUUGGUUUUCUACUUGCAAAUCAAAAUGUCAAGGAUGCAUACCAACUGGACUGAAACAAGGUUCUAUUGACAAAGUUUCUUAGCGUGCCACCAACGUUCCAAGUAACAUCAAAUGUUGUCCAGGAUUUGACAACAUACAUAAUAUUUUGCAGGUUCUGUCCUUCAUUGGCCUAUUUCCUAUGCAGACAUACAUAAUCAAUUAGUAGAUAGGAUGAGUGGUGCAUCAAUUAAUCAGUUAGUUUUGGUGCCAAGUUGCAAUGGUUUCCAUUUGAAUUUGACUGUCAUUAAACCUCAUAAGGAGAUUGUUUAUGUGUUGGAUUCUUUAAGUCAUCGCAUUUGUGAUGAAGAUUGGAAAUAUGUUAUGGAAAUGGCGUUAAGAUUAUUUAAUUCGAACAAUGGAAGGAAAGGAAGAAAGCAUGUACAAUGGGAAGUAAUCAAGGCUCCUAGGCAGCCAGAUGCGAAACAAUGUGGUUAUUACGUGAUGAGAUUUAUGAGACAAAUUACUAAAGAAAUUGCAAUGAUCGAGGGGGAUACACUACCAUCAAUAUUCACAAAAACGGAAUACUCUCAAGAAGAAAUUAAUGAAGUGCGCUCUGAAAUAGCCGAAUGCAUACAAGAUCAUAUUUAUGAAUAGGGAAAAGAUAAUGACCAUACCCAGAAAGGAGAAGAAAAGAGAAGCUAGGAGGGAGGAGAAAGCACAGGGUGUUUAGAAAGCAUAUAUAAACUCUGCAUAAUACCUCAGGGAAAAGGCUGCAGUUCUUGAUAUGGUGUUUAGAAGAUGCACAGGGUAUUUAGAAGAUGCACAGGUAGAGAAGAUUUGAUCCAACAAAAUAAGAUAUUUUGGACUUCAUAUAUAUGUGUGAUAUAUUGUUAAGGGUACUAUUUAGUUUUGUAAACUUUU